rnacentral:rRNA from 1 species
UGGGCAACCUGCCCUCAGCUCUGGGAUAACUCCGGGAAACCGAGGCUAAUACCGGAUAUGACCACUCCUGGCAUCUGGGGUGGUGGAAAGUUCUUCGGCUGAGGAUGGGCCCGCGGCCUAUCAGCUUGUUGGUGGGGUUACGGCCCACCAAGGCGACGACGGGUAGCCGGCCUGAGAGGGCGACCGGCCACACUGGGACUGAGACACGGCCCAGACUCCGUACGGGAGGCA